AAAGUUCUGUUUUGGCGCCGUUUUGUUGUAUUAUAAUUAUCCCAGCCCCUUUUUUGUACAGCCAGUAAAAUUGAACCGUGAUCAUCCAAUCAGUAAAGAAUGAGGGCAGACCCCUCCAGUUCAU